UUCUGCUCUGGUCUGUCUGGCCUCGGAAGGAAGACAAAGCUGCAGGACGCAGGGCUGGAGUGAGGGGAUGAUCCGGUUCUGGAUCCUCAGCCAUGAACUCCACGGGAGCUGGGGCUUUGUCGGAGGAGAUACGUGUCUGGAAUGCGCCUGCUCUGGGGGAGCGAGGAAGGAAUGUCUUAGGAGGCAAGACGCUGCAGGGGUCCCAGGCUCCUUCCAUCAUGUAGUGCUGCCAUCUUCAACAUGUGACCUCAUGGGACGGCUGGAUGGCUCAGCGGUUGAGCGUCUACCUUCGGCUCAGGGUGUGAUCCCGGGGUCCCACCUCGGGCUCCCCGCAGGAAGCCUGUUUCUCCCUCUGCCUGUGUCUCUUCCUCUCUCUCUGUCUCUCAUGAAUAAAUAAAUAAAAUCUUUAACGACAACAACAA